CGCAGCCGCGGUAAUUCCAGCUCCAAUAGCGUAUAUUAAAGUUGUUGCAGUUAAAAAGCUCGUAGUUGAAUUUCGGGAUCAGUAGGUUGGUCAUGCCUUCGGUAUGUACUGGUCUCACUGAUUCCUCCCUCUUGAAGAACCGUAAUGUCAUUAAUUUGAUGUUGCGGGGAAACAGGACUGUUACUUUGAAAAAAUUAGAGUGUUUAAAGCAGGCUCACGCUUGAAUACAUUAGCAUGGAAUAAUGAAAUAGGACGUUCGAUCCUAUUUUGUUGGUUUCUAGGAUUGACGUAAUGAUUAAUAGGGAUAGUUGGGGGCAUUAGUAUUCAAUUGUCAGAGGUGAAAUUCUUGGAUUUAUUGAAGACUAACUACUGCGAAAGCAUUUGCCAAGGAUGUUUUCAUUAAUCAAGAACGAAAGUUAGGGGAUCGAAGACGAUCAGAUACCGUCGUAGUCUUAACCAUAAACUAUGCCGACUAGGGAUCGGAUGAUGUUAAUUUUUAAUGUACUCAUUCGGCGCCUUA
rnacentral:rRNA from 1 species